CGCACGGGUGAGUAAUGCAUAGAUAAUGUGCCCCUUAGUUCGGGAUAGCCACUGGAAACGGUGAUUAAUACCGGAUACUCCUUCUUGUUAUAAGACAAGUCGGGAAAGUUUUUCGCUAAGGGAUCAGUCUAUGUUCCAUCAGCUUGUUGGUGAGGUAAUGGCUCACCAAGGCUAUGACGGAUAUCUGGUUUGAGAGGAUGAUCAGACACACUGGAACUGAGACACGGUCCAGACUCCUACGGGAGGCAGCAGUGAGGAAUAUUGCACAAUGGAGGAAACUCUGAUGCAGCAACGCCGCGUGGAGGAUGACGCAUUUCGGUGUGUAAACUCCUUUUAUUAGGGAAGAUAAUGACGGUACCUAAUGAAUAAGCACCGGCUAACUCCGUGCCAGCAGCCGCGGUAAUACGGAGGGUGCAAGCGUUACUCGGAAUCACUGGGCGUAAAGGGUGCGUAGGCUGGCUUUUAAGUCAGAUGUGAAAUCCAAUGGCUCAACCAUUGAACUGCAUUUGAAACUGAAAGCCUAGAGUUCAGAAGGGGCAGAUGGAAUUAGUGGUGUAGGGGUAAAAUCCGUAGAUAUCACUAGGAAUAUCAAAAGCGAAGGCGAUCUGCUGGGAUGAUA
rnacentral:rRNA from 1 species